UACGUAGGGGGCAAGCGUUGUCCGGAUUUAUUGGGCGUAAAGAGCGUGUAGGCGGCCAGAUAGGUCCGUUGUGAAAACUCGAGGCUCAACCUCGAGACGCCGAUGGAAACCAUUUGGCUAGAGUCCGGAAGAGGAGAGUGGAAUUCCUGGUGUAGCGGUGAAAUGCGCAGAUAUCAGGAAGAACACCCGUGGCUAAGGCGGCUCUCUAGUACGGUACUGACGCUGAGGCGCGAAAGCGUGGGGAGCGAACAGG
rnacentral:rRNA from 1 species